GCUGUGGUUUCAUGAUUUCAAUGGCCAUGUGAUAUUCAUAAAACACGGCUCCAUCACACCCUCCCUAUUCUUAAACUCCCACAGUUCUUCUACCUCCAUUCCCACAGUGCUCCUUGAACUUCAGAGCAGGGCACAAAGAUGCAUUGUUUGGGUGCCAAGCAGUCCGAAGUCACUCAUUCUCAGCAGUUUAUCCAGUAAUAAGUCCUGGCAUUGACCAUCAUGAACUGGGACAAAUAAGGCUAUUCUCACCAAGACUGAGAGUGGCACUGGUCUAUAGGGAAAGCUUAACAUGUCUGCUUGACAGAACAUCCAUAGUAAGAAGGGAAGGGUGAUUGGAGAACAUGGUGUGGAGAUGUGGGCUUUUGAGUCUCUUAGUUCUGUGCAAACAGGAAGAGAUUCUCAUUCCAGAGAUGGACAGAUGAUAAAGCUUCUGAUACUCCUCCUUUCUAGGCCCAGUCUCUUCAUUUUACCUCCUUUCCUCACCUCUCUCCAUCUCUCUAAAGAGUGUGUGAAAAUUUUAUGAAUAACUUUCUGGCAAUGCUGGCUCAGAGGACAUGUGGGAUCCUGGGAAGAAGCAUCUUUCAGAGAGGUCACUGCAUAUCCCAGAAUCAUCAGAGACUGCAUAUGUCACAGCUGAAACUGGAGGGUCUGCCCAAGGUUACACCUUCAGUCACCCUGUUUCCACCAUCCUCUGAGGAGCUCAAGAACAAAAAGGGCACACUGUUGUGUCUGAUAACUGACUUUUACCCAGGUGUUGUGACAGUGACCUGGGCGGCAGAUGGUACACCUAUCACCCAUCGUGUAGUGAAAAAUGUGCCUGUGAUACAGCGUGACAGUUACAAGUACAUGGCUAGGAGCUUCCUGACCUUGAGAGAAGAAGAACUGAAAUCUGUAAGUCAUGUCAGCUGCCUGGUCACUCAUGAAGGGGACACUGUGGAGAAGAGUUUGUCUCAUAGAGUGUUUUUCUAGGCCUUUCAAAGUUCAUCUUACUCACAGAGGCUGGGAUUUGAAUCAAGCACAAGUAUACCUUUACUGCUCUUGCCUACCAUAGUCCUUUUCCCUGCUCCUGAAAUGCACAAUAAAAUGUCCAUUCUCAACUUGUAA